rnacentral:rRNA from 1 species
UACGUAGGGGGCAAGCGUUGUCCGGAUUUAUUGGGCGUAAAGAGCGUGUAGGCGGCCAGACAGGUCCGUUGUGAAAACUCGAGGCUCAACCUCGAGACGCCGAUGGAAACCGUCUGGCUAGAGUCCGGAAGAGGAGAAUGGAAUUCCUGGUGUAGCGGUGAAAUGCGCAGAUAUCAGGAAGAACACCCGUGGCGAAGGCGGCUCUCUGGGACGGUACUGACGCUGAGACGCGAAAGCGUGGGGGAGCGAACAGG